UACGGAGGGUGCAAGCGUUAUCCGGAUUCACUGGGUUUAAAGGGUGCGUAGGCGGACUGUUAAGUCAGUGGUGAAAUCUCAGAGCUUAACUCUGAAACUGCCAUUGAUACUAUCAGUCUUGAAUGUUCUGGAGGUGAGCGGAAUAUGUCAUGUAGCGGUGAAAUGCUUAGAUAUGACAUAGAACACCCAUUGCGAAGGCAGCUCACUACGGAAAUAUUGACGCUGAGGCACGAAAGCGUGAGGAUCAAACAGG
rnacentral:ncRNA from 2 species